rnacentral:rRNA from 1 species
UGGGGAAUAUUGCACAAUGGGCGCAAGCCUGAUGCAGCCAUGCCGCGUGUGUGAAGAAGGCCUUCGGGUUGUAAAGCACUUUCAGCGAGGAGGAAGGUGGUGAGCUUAAUACGCUCAUCAAUUGACGUUACUCGCAGAAGAAGCACCGGCUAAUUCCGUGCCAGCAGCCGCGGUAAUACGGAGGGUGCAGGCGUUAAUCGGAAUUACUGGGCGUAAAGCGCACGCAGGCGGUUUGUUAAGUCAGAUGUGAAAUCCCCGGGCUCAACCUGGGAACUGCAUUUGAAACUGGCAAGCUAGAGUCUCGUAGAGGGGGGUAGAAUUCCAGGUGUAGCGGUGAAAUGCGUAGAGAUCUGGAGGAAUACCGGUGGCGAAGGCGGCCCCCUGGACGAAGACUGACGCUCAGGUGCGAAAGCGUGGGGAGCAAACAGGAUUAGAUAACCCUGGUAGUCCACGCUGUAAAACGAUGUCGAUUUUGGAGGUUGUGCCCUUGAGGCGUGGCUUCCGGAGCUAACGCGUUAAAUCGACCGCCUGGGGAGUACGGCCGCAAGGUUAAAACUCAAAUGAAUUGACGGGGUCAUAGCUG